GGGAUAACACUUGGAACCAGGUGCUAAUACCGCAUAACCAUAGUUACCGCAUGGUAACUAUGUAAAAGGUGGCUAUGCUACCGCUUUUGGAUGGGCCCGCGACGCAUUAGCUAGUUGGUGGGGUAAAGGCUUACCAAGGCAAUGAUGCGUAGCCGAACUGAGAGGUUGAUCGGCCACAUUGGGACUGAGACACGGCCCAAACUCCUACGGGAGGCAGCAGUAGGGAAUCUUCCACAAUGGGCGAAAGCCUGAUGGAGCAACGCCGCGUGGGUGAAGAAGGUCUUCGGAUCGUAAAACCCUGUUGUUAGAGAAGAAAGUGCGUGAGAGUAACUGUUCACGUUUCGACGGUAUCUAACCAGAAAGCCACGGCUAACUACGUGCCAGCAGCCGCGGUAAUACGUAGGUGGCAAGCGUUAUCCGGAUUUAUUGGGCGUAAAGAGAACGCAGGCGGUCUUUUAAGUCUGAUGUGAAAGCCUUCGGCUUAACCGGAGUAGUGCAUUGGAAACUGGGAGACUUGAGUGCAGAAGAGGAGAGUGGAACUCCAUGUGUAGCGGUGAAAUGCGUAGAUAUAUGGAAGAACACCAGUGGCGAAAGCGGCUCUCUGGUCUGUAACUGACGCUGAGGUUCGAAAGCGUGGGUAGCAAACAGGAUUAGAUACCCUGGUAGUCCGCGCCGUAAAC
rnacentral:rRNA from 1 species